UCGUACGAGAGUUUUAACUCAAGUGGCGGACGGGUGAGUAACACGUAAGAAUUUGCCUUUAGGAGGGGGACAACAAUUGGAAACGAUUGCUAAUACCCCAUAUGCUUUCGAGUGAAAUGGAUUUUUCCGCCUAAAGAGAAGCUUGCGGCUGAUUAGCUUGUUGGUAAGGUAAUGGCUUACCAAGGCGACGAUCAGUAUCUGGUUUGAGAGGACGAUCAGACACACUGGAACUGAGACACGGUCCAGACUCCUACGGGAGGCAGCAGUGGGGAAUUUUCCGCAAUGGGCGAAAGCCUGACGGAGCAAUCUCGCGUGAGGGAUGACGGCCUAUGGGUUGUAAACCUCUUUUUUCAGGGAGGAAUAAAAUGACGUGUACCUGAAGAAUAAGCAUCGGCUAACUCCGUGCCAGCAGCCGCGGUAAGACGGAGGAUGCAAGUGUUA
rnacentral:rRNA from 1 species